AUAACGUAACCAGAACCAAAGGACCUCUCCUCUUUCUUCAACCUAGCACAAAAUCUUAGCCAUAUCCCACCAAAACCGCCUGCUGUUCACCUCUCACAUCCGCUCACAUACCUAUUCUCUUUCCUCACACUCCAUCUCUGAAGCUUGCAGGCUCCAUGUGUGAUUUCAGCAGAUUUCAUGGGUAAGUCCCAUCCCCAUUUUCAUCAUCUCAUUUGUUGAAAAUGUUUUCCUAGAGAUUUCCCCCCUUUUCCUUAUUUUUGAAUUUCGAAGCUUCUUUAUGGACCUGUUGAAACCCUCAGUUGUUAGCUAUAAAUAGGAGUCCUUAGUGAGCUAUUUGAGAUAGGUUCAAGUGUUGGAAAUUCCUCUUGAAUAACCCAAAAAAAAUCUCAUCUGUUUUCAUCAAGCUUUUCACAAAAAAAUAUUUUUUUACUCUAAGUUGCGGCUCUCAAAAAUUCUCUUUUAACUAAGUUUGUUUUGUUGAAUUCUUGGUGGUUUCUCGGCUAAAUGAGCUAUUCAAGUGGAUUCCGAGACUUGAGACGACAUCAAGCCUCAGUUCGCUGUCACGGAGAAGCACACUGGGGUUGUAUGACAACUCCAAGUCUGCUCGGAAAUAGAAAAAUAUUAGCUGCAUUGACGUGCUCGUGUCUAACAGCCUUCGUUCGUGGCAAGCGUCCCCGUCUUUCUUCCUCUCUUUAAACUUCGUGUCUCUGUCUUAACAUAGAUAUACAUAUUGUUUAUAUUAUUGACUAAUAUUUUUUGGAUUGUAUUUGUAGCGUAUUUGUUUAUACAUAUUGUCUUGUGUGUGUACGAACUUGCGAAAAAAAUGGUGAAGUAUAAUAGCAGGUUUAGUUGCUUA